rnacentral:rRNA from 1 species
UACGUAGGUGGCGAGCGUUGUCCGGAAUUACUGGGCGUAAAGGGCUCGUAGGCGGCCAACUAAGUCAGACGUGAAAUCCCCAGGCUCAACCUGGGAACUGCGUCUGAUACUGGAUGGCUUGAAUCCGGGAGAGGGAUGCAGAAUUCCAGGUGUAGCGGUGAAAUGCGUAGAUAUCUGGAGGAACACCGGUGGCGAAGGCGGCAUCCUGGACCAACACUGACGCUGAGGAGCGAAAGCCAGGGGAGCAAACGGG